AGCCAAUGAAAGUUAGGCUGAAGCUACACAUCGCAAGCUACCAUUACUUGAGGUCUGUGUAACUCAAAGAAAAUCCCUAAUCUAACCUAACCAAAGCCAAUGAAAGUUAGGCUAAAGCUACACACAUCGCAAGCUACCAUUACUUGAGGUCUGUGUAACUCAAAAGAAAAUCCCUAACCUAACCUAACCAAAGCCAAUGUAAGUUAGGCUAAAGCUACACACAUCGCAAGCUACCAUUACUUGAGGUCUGUGUAACUCAAAAGAAAAUCCCUAACCUAACCUAACCAAAGCCAAUGUAAGUUAGGCUGAAGCUACACACAUCACGAGCAACCAGUACUUGAGGUCCAUUAAACUCAAAGAAAAUCCAUAAGACUUGAGGUAAAAGGGAAAAACAGUGGCCAAUUAUUGAACGAGAAAUACGGAACUCAACGAAAAAUGACUCUGGCAGUUCGUUUACGAGGGUGACGAUUAUACACACUAACAACUACCCAGACUCUUUUUGUUCAUUAUUUCUUUUUUAUCUUUUAUAUCUUCAUUUCGUGCCUGCCACUCAGGUUGUGAACACAGUUAGCCUCGUAAAUUAAACCUUCAUAAAACAGUAAACCAAAGACGAUAAUUUUAGUUUACGUACUACUACUACGAACUUAGGCGUUAAAGCUUACUAUUAAUUUGUAUAAUGACGUGUUUCCCGUUUCUCUGUUACGUGGAGGAUGUACCAAUCAGCUAGUCAGUCAAUAAACUUAUUCAGUCUAA